rnacentral:rRNA from 1 species
GACGAACGCUGGCGGCGCGCUUAACACAUGCAAGUCGAACGGAAAGGCCUGCUUUCCCUUGUUGAUUGCGGGUACUCGAGUAGCGAACGGGUGAGUAACACGUGACUGAUCUGCCCCCAACUUGGGUAUAAGCCUGGGAAACUGUGUCUAAUUCCGAUAGGACUGCAGGGUGGUGCCUGUGUUGGAAAACUAUUUUCUAGUUGUUGGGUAUGCUCUCGCGGCCUAUCAGGUUGUUGGUGGGGUAAUGGACUACCAAGGCGGCGAGGGGUAGCCGGGCUGAGAGGGAGGACGGCCACAUGGGGACGGAGAGACGGACCAGACUACGACGGGAGGCAGCAGUGGGGAAUAUUGCACAAGGGGAGGAAGCAUGAUGCAGCGACGCGGCGUGGGGGAUGACGGCCGUCGGGUUGUAAACUCCUUUCGACCGAGAGGAAGCCACAUGGUUGGAAGGGUGGUGACGGUAGUGGUAGAAGAAGCACCGGCUAACUACGUG